GUGGGGAAUCUUAGACAAUGGGCGCAAGCCUGAUCUAGCCAUGCCGCGUGAUCGAUGAAGGCCUUAGGGUUGUAAAGAUCUUUCAGUGGGGAAGAUAAUGACUGUACCCACAGAAGAAGCCCCGGCUAACUCCGUGCCAGCAGCCGCGGUAAUACGGAGGGGGCUAGCGUUGUUCGGAAUUACUGGGCGUAAAGCGCACGUAGGCGGAACAGAAAGUCAGAGGUGAAAUCCCAGGGCUCAACCUUGGAACUGCCUUUGAAACUACUGUGCUUGCGUUCGAGAGAGGUGGGUGGAAUUCCGAGUGUAGAGGUGAAAUUCGUAGAUAUUCGGAGGAACACCAGUGGCGAAGGCGGCUCACUGGCUCGAUACUGACGCUGAGGUGCGAAAGCGUGGGGAGCAAACAGGAUUAGAAACCCUUGUAGUCC
rnacentral:rRNA from 1 species